GUGCUGCCUGUUCAAGGUUUUCAGGAACCUUAUGCUCAUAAAGAAAACAAUAGAAAAAUGACAUUAAGGAAAGUGAACAUUUCCAUCCUUAUCGUGGCUGUUGUAAUAUUUUUGCUAGUUCUUCAUCAUAACUUCCUAAGCCUCAGUGACUUCUUGAAGCGGGAGUUAUCAGAUUCAAGUCCCUUAGGACUUCAGCCUAUAGAUUUCAUUCCUGCAGCUCCCCAGAGGCUGAUAGAUGAGAGGAAUGAUAAGGAGAUUUCUGUGGUCAUUGCAGCGUCAGAUGAGAGGCUUGGGGGUGCAAUUGCAGCCAUGAACAGCAUUUACCAUCACACCAGAUCCAACGUGGUUUUCCAUAUUGUUACUCUGAAUGAUACAGUGGAUCACUUGAGGCUGUGGCUUAGUGGCACUGCUCUGAAAAACCUGAGAUACCGAAUUUUGGAUUUUGACCCUCGUGUCUUAGAAGGGAAAGUACAAGUGGAUCCCCAAAAAGCAGACACCUUCAAACCAUUAACCUUUGCAAGAUUCUACUUGCCCAACUUGGUACCUCAUGCAGAGAAGGUCAUCUAUGUGGAUGAUGAUGUAAUAGUGCAAGAUGAUAUUCUUGAACUUUACAACACUCCACUGAAACCUGGACAUGCAGCUGCAUUUUCAGAUGAUUGUGACUCAACCACUAGCAAAGUUGCUGUCCGUGGAGCAGGCAAUCAGUAUAACUACAUUGGCUUUCUAGAUUACAAAAAAGAAACCAUCCGAAAGCUCGCCAUGAAAGCCAACACCUGCUCUUUCAAUCCAGGAGUUUUCGUUGCCAAUUUGACAGAAUGGAAAUUACAGAACAUCACUAAGCAAUUGGAGAAGUGGAUGGCACUUAAUGUCAUAGAGGAACUUUACAGUAAGACUCUGGCUGGCAGCAUCACAACACCUCCACUGCUAAUUGUAUUCUACAAGCAGCAUUCCAGUAUUGAUCCCAUGUGGAACGUCCGACAUCUCGGGUCUAGUGCUGGAAAAAGGUACUCUCCUCAGUUUGUGAAAGCUGCCAAGCUGCUCCAUUGGAAUGGACAUUUCAAACCUUGGGGAAGAACAGCUUCCUAUGCUGAAGUCUGGGAGAAGUGGUAUGUCCCUGACCCUACAGGCAAGUUCAACCUGAUCCGCAGACACUCGGAAGCCUAUGAAGCAAAGUAGAGCCAAUGUUGAUAACUGAUGGUGCUUUCUCAGGAAGCUUUUGGAGCCAAGCAGAACAUUUCUUUUUUUAGCCAACAUGUAUUACAGAGCCAUCUGGAGCACAAGGUGAUGCACUUAUUCAGGUGCAGUUCUGAAAUGCACAGGUCCAAAGGAGGCUCAUGUCACCUGCAUGACAGAAGGUGCUGCUCCAGCAGCACUACAGAAAGGGAGGAUCGAUCUCCACAAACAGGCACUUUUGUUUAGAUCAUUUCAGUCGUGUUCUUCUGCUCUUUACUGCGAGUCUUGUAGCAGAGGAUCAUUUUAUCAGUUACAGAAACGUUUCUAAGAACAAGAUACAAAUUCAUUUGGUGCUUGCACCACGCAAAUCUUGCACAUCAAUGUACUGUAAUUAAGAGUUGCUUGGGUUCUGGGUUUGUUUUUUGUUGUUUUGUUUUGUUAUUCUGUGAAAUAGUUCCCUCAACAACCCUUUCAUGCAUGAAAUCUCCCAACCAUUUCUGUGUAAGUCUUUCUUGCAGAAUUCUACAAAAUGGAAUCUUUUAUGAAAGAUGAAUUCUUCAAGUUUUAUUUCACUAUGCAAAGUGGUUUUAACUGCCAGUGAACACUAAAACAUGUUUUGUAAAGUGGUGGAUGAAACCUUGUUCAAAAAUAAAGCUAAUUGUAACAUGUUGACUCAAGCCUCGGGUAAAUGGCUGCCCAUCCUCUGUGCUACAGAGCAAAUGACAGCUUGCUCCAGCUGAGGACACCGGCAGCCCAUCGGAUCUCUCGCAUCUAAAACCUCCAGAACCACAUCUGAGGCCUCAAGCACCUGGGUUAGAAACAGGACAAGACUCUCAAAUAAGGCAUCACACACCAGAUGACAACAGUUACUGCGUUGUAAACACUCUCUGUUGUAAAAUCCCGUAAGUGUUGAUGUUUAUCACAACCUUUAUACUCUCCAGCAGCUGCACAGUAAUGCCAAAGAAAG